rnacentral:rRNA from 1 species
UACGUAGGGGGCAAGCGUUGUCCGGAAUCAUUGGGCGUAAAGAGCGCGUAGGCGGCCCAGUAAGUCCGCUCUGAAAGUCAGGGGCUCAACCCCUGAAUGCGGGUGGAUACUGCUGGGCUAGAGUCCGGAAGAGGCGAGUGGAAUUCCUGGUGUAGCGGUGAAAUGCGCAGAUAUCAGGAGGAACACCGAUGGCGAAGGCAGCUCGCUGGGACGGUACUGACGCUGAGGCGCGAAAGCGUGGGUAGCAAACAGG